UUAAGCGACUAAGCGUACACGGUGGAUGCCCUGGCAGUCAGAGGCGAUGAAGGACGUGCUAAUCUGCGAUAAGCGUCGGUAAGGUGAUAUGAACCGUUAUAACCGGCGAUUUCCGAAUGGGGAAACCCAGUGUGUUUCGACACACUAUCAUUAACUGAAUCCAUAGGUUAAUGAGGCGAACCGGGGGAACUGAAACAUCUAAGUACCCCGAGGAAAAGAAAUCAACCGAGAUUCCCCCAGUAGCGGCGAGCGAACGGGGAGCAGCCCAGAGCCUGAAUCAGUGUGUGUGUUAGUGGAAGCGUCUGGAAAGGCGCGCGAUACAGGGUGACAGCCCCGUACACAAAAAUGCACAUGCUGUGAGCUCGAUGAGUAGGGCGGGACACGUGGUAUCCUGUCUGAAUAUGGGGGGACCAUCCUCCAAGGCUAAAUACUCCUGACUGACCGAUAGUGAACCAGUACCGUGAGGGAAAGGCGAAAAGAACCCCGGCGAGGGGAGUGAAAAAGAACCUGAAACCGUGUACGUACAAGCAGUGGGAGCACGCUUCGGCGUGUGACUGCGUACCUUUUGUAUAAUGGGUCAGCGACUUAUAUUCUGUAGCAAGGUUAACCGAAUAGGGGAGCCGAAGGGAAACCGAGUCUUAACUGGGCGUUAAGUUGCAGGGUAUAGACCCGAAACCCGGUGAUCUAGCCAUGGGCAGGUUGAAGGUUGGGUAACACUAACUGGAGGACCGAACCGACUAAUGUUGAAAAAUUAGCGGAUGACUUGUGGCUGGGGGUGAAAGGCCAAUCAAACCGGGAGAUAGCUGGUUCUCCCCGAAAGCUAUUUAGGUAGCGCCUCGUGAAUUCAUCUCCGGGGUAGAGCACUGUUUCGGCAAGGGGGUCAUCCCGACUUACCAACCCGAUGCAAACUGCGAAUACCGGAGAAUGUUAUCACGGGAGACACACGGCGGGUGCUAACGUCCGUCGUGAAGAGGGAAACAACCCAGACCGCCAGCUAAGGUCCCAAAGUCAUGGUUAAGUGGGAAACGAUGUGGGAAGGCCCAGACAGCCAGGAUGUUGGCUUAGAAGCAGCCAUCAUUUAAAGAAAGCGUAAUAGCUCACUGGUCGAGUCGGCCUGCGCGGAAGAUGUAACGGGGCUAAACCAUGCACCGAAGCUGCGGCAGCGACGCUGAUGCGUUGUUGGGUAGGGGAGCGUUCUGUAAGCCUGCGAAGGUGUGCUGUGAGGCAUGCUGGAGGUAUCAGAAGUGCGAAUGCUGACAUAAGUAACGAUAAAGCGGGUGAAAAGCCCGCUCGCCGGAAGACCAAGGGUUCCUGUCCAACGUUAAUCGGGGCAGGGUGAGUCGACCCCUAAGGCGAGGCCGAAAGGCGUAGUCGAUGGGAAACAGGUUAAUAUUCCUGUACUUGGUGUUACUGCGAAGGGGGGACGGAGAAGGCUAUGUUGGCCGGGCGACGGUUGUCCCGGUUUAAGCGUGUAGGCUGGUUUUCCAGGCAAAUCCGGAAAAUCAAGGCUGAGGCGUGAUGACGAGGCACUACGGUGCUGAAGCAACAAAUGCCCUGCUUCCAGGAAAAGCCUCUAAGCAUCAGGUAACAUCAAAUCGUACCCCAAACCGACACAGGUGGUCAGGUAGAGAAUACCAAGGCGCUUGAGAGAACUCGGGUGAAGGAACUAGGCAAAAUGGUGCCGUAACUUCGGGAGAAGGCACGCUGAUAUGUAGGUGAAGUCCCUCGCGGAUGGAGCUGAAAUCAGUCGAAGAUACCAGCUGGCUGCAACUGUUUAUUAAAAACACAGCACUGUGCAAACACGAAAGUGGACGUAUACGGUGUGACGCCUGCCCGGUGCCGGAAGGUUAAUUGAUGGGGUUAGCCGCAAGGCGAAGCUCUUGAUCGAAGCCCCGGUAAACGGCGGCCGUAACUAUAACGGUCCUAAGGUAGCGAAAUUCCUUGUCGGGUAAGUUCCGACCUGCACGAAUGGCGUAAUGAUGGCCAGGCUGUCUCCACCCGAGACUCAGUGAAAUUGAACUCGCUGUGAAGAUGCAGUGUACCCGCGGCAAGACGGAAAGACCCCGUGAACCUUUACUAUAGCUUGACACUGAACAUUGAGCCUUGAUGUGUAGGAUAGGUGGGAGGCUUUGAAGUGUGGACGCCAGUCUGCAUGGAGCCGACCUUGAAAUACCACCCUUUAAUGUUUGAUGUUCUAACGUUGACCCGUGAUCCGGGUUGCGGACAGUGUCUGGUGGGUAGUUUGACUGGGGCGGUCUCCUCCUAAAGAGUAACGGAGGAGCACGAAGGUUGGCUAAUCCUGGUCGGACAUCAGGAGGUUAGUGCAAUGGCAUAAGCCAGCUUGACUGCGAGCGUGACGGCGCGAGCAGGUGCGAAAGCAGGUCAUAGUGAUCCGGUGGUUCUGAAUGGAAGGGCCAUCGCUCAACGGAUAAAAGGUACUCCGGGGAUAACAGGCUGAUACCGCCCAAGAGUUCAUAUCGACGGCGGUGUUUGGCACCUCGAUGUCGGCUCAUCACAUCCUGGGGCUGAAGUAGGUCCCAAGGGUAUGGCUGUUCGCCAUUUAAAGUGGUACGCGAGCUGGGUUUAGAACGUCGUGAGACAGUUCGGUCCCUAUCUGCCGUGGGCGCUGGAGAACUGAGGGGGGCUGCUCCUAGUACGAGAGGACCGGAGUGGACGCAUCACUGGUGUUCGGGUUGUCAUGCCAAUGGCACUGCCCGGUAGCUAAAUGCGGAAGAGAUAAGUGCUGAAAGCAUCUAAGCACGAAACUUGCCCCGAGAUGAGUUCUCCCUGACUCCUUGAGAGUCCUGAAGGAACGUUGAAGACGACGACGUUGAUAGGCCGGGUGUGUAAGCGCAGCGAUGCGUUGAGCUAACCGGUACUAAUGAACCGUGAGGCUUAACCUU
rnacentral:rRNA from 1 species